CAAGCAGGCUGCACACACAUUCCCGUUAGUACCAAGUGGCCAAUUGAGGCUUGAGAGUCGUCCCCAGCCAGACCUGGGAACCUCCCCACCCAAUACCCAGUAGACAUGCAGUCUUGGAAAGGUACUUAAAAUACCAACCAGAAUUUCCCCAUUUCUAAAUUGAGGGAAGUAGCAUUCAUCCCACAGGAUGAAUUUCAAGAUUUAAUCAAACAAUGAACAGAAACCAAUUAGUGUGGUGCUCAGAUGUAGUGGAUGUCCAAUCAAGGAUUGCUGUUCUCACUGGUGCUGUCAUGCACCAACAUUGCUCAGUGUUUUUCAGCACCCUGAGCACUGAUGUUCCCUCCCCCACUGUGGUCAGACCUGUCCCUGCCCUCUGGCACCUCCCACUCUCCAGCUUCUCUAUUACUAGUACCUGCAGGUGCCUCAGGGAAGCUGAGGCUCAGAUCUAACCUGCCCUCUGCCAUCCACCGGAGUAGUCUCCCAGGUCCGCCUGGGCUUCUCUCCACCAGGCAGGAACCUGAACCAUGCUGAGUUCCCUUGCUGUCCUGUGUGUCCUCCUGUUUCCCGGUGGUGCAGCGGGGCUCAAGCUGGAGCAGACUCCUGUGGUCGUGGGGCGCUUGGGCACCUUGGCCACCCUGCCGUGCACAGUGGAUACCUCGAAACUGGAGAAGAAUGAUGAGGGCGUGUACUACUGCGCUGCCUGGGAAGCGCACAGCCACUCCUGCUGCCCUGGCCCCUGUGCAAAAAGAGCUGUGACAGACUGGUGAUGGAAGAAUCUGACCACCUGCGUGAAGAAUGUGGGAAUGAAAUAUGGUGCAAAUCAUUUCAAGAGUGAAAGACUCUGGAGAUUUACCACAAAAUGUUUGAAGGCUCAGACUGGGAGUCACCUCCUGAUUCCAGUUUCUAUGUUGCUGCCCUGCCCCCUACUAGUUACUUGCAGUGGAGAGUCAGGGAGCAGAGGCUCAGGAAGCUGAGGGCUAACUUCUCAGCACCUUCGUGCACUGGCAUGUCUGGGGCUCAACUCCUGUGAGGGGACAUGAUCCUCAGGGAGGUUGAUGCAUCAGCCCUGGGUGAGACCUGGGGACCUCCACCUUCUGCUUCUGCUUGAAUGCUACUCCAUUUGAUUUGGUCUAUAUUCCCUGGACCUCUGUUCUCUGCUCUGUAAAAUGAGGUGGUUUAACUGCCACAGUUGUGUGACUGAUUUCUGUAUCAAACCAAAAUUGUAUCAAUAAGAUAUCACUAUACUUACUAACUUCUUAUAAAAUUAGUCAACUUCUUGAGAAAGAAAAAAGAAUGAAGGAAAAAGAAAAGAAGAGCCAUAUUACUGAUUCUCUAGGAAUACCUCUGUGGCAGUAUGUGGGGAAAAGAAAAAGCUCUGCGAGAAAGUCUAAUUGAAUUAAAUGCAUUUUCAUUUGAAAAUUCAAAUUUUAUGUAAAAUGCAAAUUGCAUUGGUGAAAAUGAUUACUGUAAGGAAAGUCUACAUGAUCUGAAGGAAAUUGGUCCCUCAGAUUCACUAACUCCCCAUUUAUCUCUCUGAGCCUCUGCUUUUGUGGUGAGAGAUUUGUAUUUAAGAUAGGCAUGUCUGUACAAGAGCCCAACCAACACUUCAACCCUCUACUGAAGGCCUGGGUCAAGGCUAAGACCUCCAGUAUGUGCAGGAAGAGGUUGUAGGGGAGGGGCAGAAAUUUACCUUUGUUCUGUUCUGAGAAUGUUCCUUCAUUUAUCCUCCCCAUUACCUAUGCAACUGAACCCUUUCCUCUCAGUGCCUGACUCCACAGGGCAGUGAUCUGAGACCUGGUAACCUAUUACCGUUUGGUUAGAGAGAAAUUAGCUAAAUAUGAAGACAUUGUCAUGAGAAGUCAUCCCAAGUCAAUGUAAAUCUUAGUUUUUAACAUGGUUCCAUAGUGCCUUUGAGUUACCUCCUGAUAGGACACUGACCUUGUGCAUGGAGCAAACAACCCAUAUAUGGAGGGAAAAACAAGUCCAGAUUUGGAGUCAUUUCCUUCCCCUGCCUUUCUCCCUGUGCAUAAGGUGAGCUUCCCCAAAGAUACCUUGGGUACACAUAGCCCUCCUGUCCUCAGGAAAUGUUUGCUAAUUAAAUGGUUGUUUAAACAGCUAAGUCAUGAAAACACUAAAAGCAUUUCUUUAGAAUGUACAGCACUGAUUCCAGUGGCAGAUCUAUUGUCUGUUUAACUGAGAUUGAUAUUUUGACUAUUAGAGAGGGACUCACAUUACCUCGUGGGUAGGGGAUUUUGUUAUAGAUGGAUACUUGAAAUAUCCUGAUGGUUUGGGCUCAACUCAUUUAUUUCACUCCUAAGGUGAGUGAGACACAAUGGUUUUUUUUUUUAAUUUAUUUUUAUUGGUGUUCAAUUUACUAACAUACAGAAUAACCCCCAGUGCCCAUCACCCAUUCACUCCCACCCCCCGCCCUCCUCCCCUUCUACCACCCCUAGUUCGUUUCCCAGAGUUAGCAGUCUUUAUGUUCUGUCUCCCUUUCUGAUAUUUCCCACACAUUUCUUCUCCCUUCCCUUAUAUUCCCUUUCACUAUUAUUUAUAUUCCCCAAAUGAAUGAGCUCAUACACUGUUGGUGGGAAUGUGAACUGGUGCAGCCACUCUGGAAAACUGUGUGGAGGUUCCUCAAACAGUUAAAAAUAUACCUGCCCUACGACCCAGCAAUUGCACUGUUGGGGAUUUACCCCAAAGAUACAAAUGCAAUGAAACGCCGGGACACCUGACACAAUGGUUUUGAGUAAUGGAAGCAACGUUACAUUUUGAAGUUAAUGCUGAGUAAAGUCUAAGAACAUAUAAAAACCAUUGUUUUCAUAGUUGUAUCAUCCAUUACCAACUGAUCACACAUGUUAGUACUAUGUAAAAUGUCAUGUCUGUAACCUCAGAGUCACCUUCUAAAAAUCACAAAUCUAAAAAUUUCUGGGUACACUUGGAAAUCCAUGCUGAUUGUUUUUUACUAUUGGGGCUCUUUAUUUUUUCAGGCCCAGAGUGGGUUCAGGGACACAGUCUUGGGUAGAGGAAAGGUCGCAAGUUGAAGAGGUCACUCCUAAACAUUGGGAUCAGGAGAUCUUUUACUAUGUCACUUCCAUAUGCUUAUUUUCUCAUAGAAAACCUGUAUGGCUUGGAAUUUUAUUUUUAAAUGUAUUUUUAAAAAGAAUUCACAUGUUAUUUAAUAUUUAAAAACUUUUUUUUAAUAUUUAAAAACUUACAUAUUAUUGAGCACUUAGAUACAACGUGUGAAAUCUGAUGUUUAGAAAUGUGUCUAACGUUGGAAGACAAUCAUCAAUUAUAUGGUUUCACUGAUACAUGGAAUAUAAGAAAUAGUGAAAGGGAUUAUAAGGGAAAGGAGGGAAACUGAGUGGGUAAAAGUUAGAGUGGGAGACAAACCAUGAGAGACUCCUAACUCUGGGAAACAAACAAAUGGUUGGGGAAGGGGAGGUGAAUGAGGAGAUGGGGUAACUGAAUGAUGGGCACUAAGGCAGGCACUUGAUGGGAUGAGCAUUGAGUGUUAUACUAUAUGUUGGCAAAUUGAAUUUAAAUUUUAAAAAUGGGGUUACUAAUCUAACAAAUGAGAAAUAUUUUUAAGAAAAAGUGUGUAUUCAACAGAAAGUGUUACAAACAUGUAAAUUGAGGAUGAAAGAAAUAAUAUUUUAUCUACAGUCCUUUCAUCAAAUUAUAUAAAUGCCUUUUCCAUUUUGGGUUUUCUUUAUGUCUCUUUUGUCUAGAUACAGAGGCAGGAAUGAAAUUAUCUCAAGCAGAAUAGCACACAAAAAAAUUCUAUUCAACAAAGAUGCUUGUCAUUUCUAUUUCCUGAAAAUGUGCUCUGCUACCAUUCAGGGAAGGUUGUUAGAAAAUCAGCCUCAAAUAUUCAUCUGGAGACCAAGAAGAAGACAGACUUUCAGGUAGGAUCCUGAGAGUCCCCUGCUUUGGGGGCAGAGAUUUCUCCACCAGGCAAAGAACAAGCAAGGAUGCUGAGGGACACAAUGACUGGAUUCUGGGAAAUCUUCUACUUCCUGCUCAGUAUUGGUGUUCCACUUUUCUCCCCAUUGCUCUGUGUCCCAGGCACCUAACCCCUGUGGAUUACAGUAAUGGGAAUCUCUGCUCUGGUUUCCAAUGGAAAGUUGGCCAGUGGAAAUUGAAGUUCAAAGAACAAUCACCAUGUCACCUACAGAAGCAUUUCUUCUUGGGCUCUAGAUUUCCAAGCCCUUGUUCGUUUCCCAGAGUUAGGUGUCUCUCAUGUAUUGUCACCCUCACUGAGAUUUUCACUCAGUACAGGGUUCUGGGAAAAAAGAAACAAAUUCCUCCAGUGGGUAGAGUGUUAUAAAAUGGAAUGGCAUCUCUCACCUGCACCUCUUGGUGCCUGAGCAUAAACCUCUGGGUAUGGGGACAGAUGGCACUAUAGGUUGGCCCUGAAGAUGCAGGCCCCUUUCAGGGAAAAAACCCUAAGCUCAUGCUGCUCCUAAUUCCCAGUCUCUUGCUGAUGCUUCCAUUGGCUGCUCCCAAACAGAAACCAGAGAAUAAGGAAAACCAUCUGUGCACUCCAUGAGGUUCCACCUCCUAAUGCCCAGGGGAAGGUAAGAGAGGUAGACUGUCCAUCUGGAGGAGCAAAAGAAUGAAAUUAAGCAGACAGUCAAAUAAGUGGGUUGCAUUUGCCCCCAAAGUAGUAAAGCAAAUUGAAGAGUUGGGAGAUUUUGUCUAGUUCCUUUCAUUUCACUUUCCACAAAGCCACCAAGGUCCCAUCUCUAACAGAACAGGAUGUGCCCUUUUCCUUCAGUAACAAAACAGGAAACUGGACACGUGUUGAGAGAUUAUCAUUAACUUCGCGCUUUUCUAGUUGAUACACUUAGUAGAAAAAAACCACAUAGAUUAUUUCUAAUGCUUUUGUUUUUCAGUUAAAUCAGCGAUUCUGAGUAUUUGUUUAAUAAUGAAGUAAGUCAUCAUCACCUAAGUAGAAUAGAAUAAUGAGAUCUCUGAGUAGAUAAAUGAUGAUAGUGCUUUGUGAACCAGUAUUAUGAUGAAUCCAAUUCUGUGUUCUUGAUGUUCUUUAAUACAAUACACAAGGGUACAGUAGUAAAACAAUUCUAACUCUUAUUAAAACAAAGUAGAGAAAUGAAUGCCACUUUCAUAAUAUCAACUAAAACCCAGCCUGUCACAUUUGUAGAAUUGAUCUAUCUUUUCUCUCCUUCCCACAUGGAGACAGUUGCUGUUCAUGGUGAGCUGCUCAUGGGGACUUUUAUCUUCAUCUUUAUCCUUUUUCUCUAAGUUUCUUCUAGGAAGAUCUUUAUCCACAUGCCCUGAGACGUUCCUUGAAUCACAUGUCAUUCCUCUAUAUCUCACUGUCCUGACCUAUCAAAUGAAAACUACAAGCCUCCAUAUCAUGUGAUUGAAAGGUGAAGAUUGAAAAGGUGAAGAACAUUUAGGGAAAAAUCUAUCAAUAAAAAAGUACUCAUUAAAUAUUAACUCAGUUUUUGGAGGGGGGAUCGGAGAGGGAGAGGGAGAGAGAAUAUCUCAUGCAAGAUCCACACCCAGCAGAAGCCUGAUGUGGGGCUCAAUCUUUGUGAUGAUAAUAACCUGAGCAGAAAUCAAGAGACAGAUGCUAAC
rnacentral:lncRNA from 1 species